rnacentral:rRNA from 1 species
CCUACGGGAGGCAGCAGUGGGGAAUUUUGGACAAUGGACGCAAGUCUGAUCCAGCCAUGCCGCGUGCGGGAAGAAGGCCUUCGGGUUGUAAACCGCUUUUGUCAGGGAGGAAACGGGUUUCUCUAAUACAGAGACCUAAUGACGGUACCUGAAGAAUAAGCACCGGCUAACUACGUGCCAGCAGCCGCGGUAAUACGUAGGGUGCAAGCGUUAAUCGGAAUUACUGGGCGUAAAGCGUGCGCAGGCGGUUAUGCAAGACAGAGGUGAAAUCCCCGGGCUCAACCUGGGAACUGCCUUUGUGACUGCAUAGCUAGAGUACGGUAGAGGGGGAUGGAAUUCCGCGUGUAGCAGUGAAAUGCGUAGAUAUGCGGAGGAACACCGAUGGCGAAGGCAAUCCCCUGGACCUGUACUGACGCUCAUGCACGAAAGCGUGGGGAGCAAACAGGAUUAGAUACCCUGGUAGUCCACGCCCUAAACGAUGUCAACUGGUUGUUGGGAGGGUUUCUUCUCAGUAACGAAGCUAACGCGUGAAGUUGACCGCCUGGGGAGUACGGCCGCAAGGUUGAAACUCAAAUAGAGUAGAGCGUGAGAGNGACGACGACGACGACGAGGGAGGAGG